rnacentral:lncRNA from 1 species
CAUCACAUGCCAAUUCAUCACUCAUCCGGAGCCAUGACCAUGGGCAGGCAAGUCAACGAAGGAUGAAUGAGCCCCAUACUCAGAGUUCCGCAGCAGCCAAGAUGCCAUCAUGUCCUCACUCAGGUCCUCUCACUGCACCCAAACUCAGCCCUGGGAGAUGUGACAGUCUGCUUUCUGGGCUACUUCCAGGCUCAGUUCCCUUAUCCAUGCCCCACACUGCAAGACCAAGGAGCGGGAUGGGUGCAAACCUAUAAUCAUCUUUUCCGUACCCCAUGACAGAAAGUACCACAUAAAUGAGAGACUUUUGGGUAGUCGCAAUGGACCCAAGAAGAUCUGUUUGAAUUAUUGGAAAACAGAAGGUGAUCUUUAGCCAAACAUGAAAGGGAGGGGCUCCUCAUCGAGUCCUGACCUAUGAACAGUACUUGGAACAGUACCCGGGUCACCGACAGAUAAACCAAACUCUGCACCACUGAACUUUGUCAUUUCUGCUAAGCACGUUUUCUUUUUCUUACGUGGAGGGCAGUAGAGGGAGGUUGAAUUUCUGCUUCUCUUUGCA